rnacentral:rRNA from 1 species
GAUCAUGGCUCAGGAUGAACGCUAGCUACAGGCCUAACACAUGCAAGUCGAGGGGCAGCAUGGGAGAAGCUUGCUUUCCCGAUGGCGACCGGCGAAUGGGUGAGUCACGCGUGUCCAACCUGCCCUGUGCCCGGGGAUAGCCCUUGGAAAUGAGGAUUAACACCCGAUACGUGGCGCUUCCGCAUGGCGGCGCCAUGAAACCGACACAGGAUGGGGACGCGUCGGAUUAGCUUGACGGCGGGGCAACGGCCCACCGUGGCGACGAUCCGCAGGGGUUCUGAGAGGAAGGUCCCCCACACUGGCACUGAGACACGGGCCAGACUCCUACGGGAGGCAGCAGUAGGGAAUUUUGCGCAAUGGGGGAAAAACCCCCUGACGCAGCAACGCCGCGUGAACGAAAAAGCCCUUCGGGGUGUAAAGUUCUGUCAGUGGGGACGAAACUUGACGGUACCCACAGAGGAAGCAUCGGCUAACUCCGUGCCAGCCGCCGC